rnacentral:lncRNA from 1 species
UGAACUUGUCAAAUGUGCCCACAUUGAGACUUCAACUUUUGUUAUCUAAGUUAGUCUUUGAAACUCUAAAGUUCAAACACCAAUGUGGGAAUAAAAAAAGUUCAUGCCCCAAUAUGAGAAACGUCUCGAUUGCAUGUCUCAAUGUGGGAACAAUUACCAAGUUGAAGAUCUAACUUAGAUAAAAAAAAAUAAAUUCAAACCCCU